rnacentral:lncRNA from 1 species
GUAACCCCUUCGAGAAGCAGGAGGUUCUGUGUCUGGGGCCCUGAGCUGAGGCGCCCACGUGGGCCCUGCAGUCCGGGGCAGGGUCGGAGGCGGUGGGACCCCUUUCUCUGCCUCACUGUGCUCCUAAGCCCCCUCACCUUUAGCCCGGGCUGGGCAGCCUGCCCGCCCCACUUAGGGUGCACGUGGAUGGGAUAAGUUGGGGCCCUGGUGACCACUGACCUUGGGCUGAAGGUAGGCUCCUAUGACAAUGACGACGACGAGAGUGGACAGGCGCCAGAAGGAACCUGGAGAUGCUCCUCAGGGGCUGGGGGCCUCCAGCCAGCCCCCACCCCGUCAUGGAGUAGGCAAGGCCCCGGCGGAGCCUGCUCCUCCCCCAGCCACGCUGCCCUUCUGUGAACAGGGUGGGCACCACCGUGGGAGACUGGCCACGGGCAUCUCAGCUCUGCCCUGCUGCGGAGCUGUCCGUCAUGGGGGCAUGCUGCAGGGCCGCCACCCCUGAGCACUUGAUGUGAAUCGGGCCAUAUCAUCUUUGCCUGUUUGAAGUAGAUGCACAGACCUUUGUGGCCAUUUUGCAGAUUAGGAAACUGAGGCACGGCAGGGGAAGGUUUCGGUCGGGCUCCUCAUGGCUCCUCCAGCAGGUGGGGCUCUGUCUGCACAGCUCUCCCUCUCCCUGGAGUCUUGCUCUCGUCGGGAGCCACUGCCCCUCUGGGGGCCCGGGGCCACCCGGCACGCAGCAGCCGCCUCAGCCUGUGGUAAUGCUGCCCACCCCUCCUGCUCCCAGACUGCCCCUUGUGGUGCCUCAGGUGUCCACCCCCACCUGGCUCUGGGCUCUAGGGCCCCAGGGGUCCUGUUUGCUGCCGUUCGGGACCUGGCAUAGUAGAUGCUCAACAAACAUUUGAAGGAUGAAUAGAAAACUGAGCGACUGGGCUUCUCCGAUCUCUUCUGCUCCUCUUGCCAGGGUCUUGGGGUCCUAUGGAUGGGGUCCUGCAGAGGGGCAGGGGAUGGGGAGGGGCUUUAUCAUGGAGGAAUCAGUCCAGCCACACUGGGACCCACUGUACUAAGAUACUCAUCCUUAGUAUCGCCCAGAGGAGAAAACCUGGGUGUGCGUGUCCAGUUAGGACCCGACUGGAAGGACCAGUGCCUCCCCAGUCGGCUUCCCCUGGCCGUGGGCCCCAGCCAGGUCGGCCCUCUGGAUCUAAGCACCAGGGUACAGGGCCUGCCAGGUUGUGCAGCAUGUUAGGUGACACUGAGGUUCAACCACGGGGUCAACCAUGGGGACAGUUCUACAAGACCAAGGACCUGGCCUCCAACCAGGGGGACGGCAUACAAAAAGGAGGGGGGACAGAGAGACGCAGGAGACUGCACCCAGAUGCAAUGUGUGAGCCUGGUUUUGAUCUUGAUUGAAAUCCAUGGACCUUAAAAUGACAUUUUUGAGGAAAAUAAGGAAAUUGGAGCAGGGACUGUCAUUAGAUGACAUUAGGGGCUGUUAACAUUAUGAGGGGUGACAAUGAUAUUGAGGUUAUUUUGAAAAAUGUUCUAAGAGGUGAAAGAUGCAUUUUGAAAUACUCGUGGGUGAAAUGAUAUCACGUCUGGAAUUUUCCUUCACAGGGGGCCUGCGGGCGGCUGUUGAGGCCGGGAGGGGCCAGGGAGGUCCCUGGGCAGCGCCCCCCUGGUAAGUGCGUGGGGAAAGCUCUAUCCUCCCACCUCUGCUCUCUCCUCCCUGCCCCACAUUCGGCCUGGAGAACAUCUGUUUGCAUCAGCACAGCUGUCCUGGCUCCCGUCCUGUUCCCCGCGCACCCAGAGGGAGGAAGGCGGCCCUGGGCUGGAAUCGGCCCUGCCUGAUUUGCAUUUGGCCCGGAGCCUGGUUCCCGGAGGCGCACCCUGAUUGCUUGUUACAAACCUUUGUCCCAGCGGCUUUGUGACCUGGGAACCUCCUGCUCUUCUCCGGCCCCAGGACUUCACUGCUGGCUUCCUCGGGGCAACAGUGGGUGGUGUGGAAUCUGCCCCGAGUCGGGUGCAGACCUUGCCCCAAAGGCAGCAGCGGGGACAGUGAGCAGGCAGGGGGGAGGGCUGCUGGCCAGCGGCUCUGGGUCUUGAGCAGGUGUGCCCCACUGCUGAUGGGGUGUGGAGACCCCAGGGGCAGAUGCGGACCUCAGUGUGGUUGAGAUGACUCUUGUCGCCACACAUCUCAUCUUCCGCCUGAGAGUCACAGGCGUGGGCGGGGCGCUGUCCACACAGAGCAGGGGGCCCUGAGCCCCCCAGAGCAGGACCUGGACUCACGGUCUCUGGCCCAGCGCUGGGCCCAGAGCAGCCACCCCAGGAGGCCAAGCGGUUCCUGAUGGGGCUUAGACAUGGGCCAGUACCAGGGUGGAGGUGUAGAAAGGCAGGUUUUUGGCAAAACCAGAUUCCAGGGCUCCCCCUGGACCCGCAGAACCCAGCUCUCCCAAGACGCAGACUGUUCUCACCGGCUCCUGGGAGAGAGCGAGCGGCCUGGGGCUGGAGUCGGGAGUUCAGCACCACGGACAGAGCCCGGCCUCCCGCAGGCCUCCAGGCUCCUGCUGGGGCAAGAUCACUGUGUGUCCGUGUCCGCGACAGGCAAGGGCCGGGCCUGAUGGGGUGCGGAUGACCCUGUGGUCCUGGCUCCCGCGUGGUGUCGUCCUCACCCCUGUUUCAGGAGUGACUUUCAGGGAGGCCAAGGUCCUGCUGUAGGUGUUGCUGACUCUACACAGAGGGGCUAUCUGGUGGACACCCCUUGAUUUAUGACUUUUAAGGGACCCCCAUACUGUGCAAGCAGCAAGGCAUGAAGCCUGAGCCUGUGUGAGCAAAUGAGCCCCCAGACAUGGCCUGAGCCCCGACUGUUGUCUUGGGGAGCCGAAUUCAAACAGAAGAGAGCUUUAUUUACCUGGCCAGGGACUGUACCCACCCGGAGAGACUGAUGCUCCGUGGGAGAACAGCCUGGCCUGUGUCCUGGGAAUUUAAGGGUGGAAACCACAACUCAGGGGCCUUUCUUGGCAUCAUGCCAGCAGGGAGCUUACAACUCAGUGAGCCGUGUCUCGGGUCCGAGCAGGUGCUCAACAACCGUGUCCCGAGUCUCAGGUGAGCGGGGCCAUGAUCCAUUUCAAAGUCACGCAGCCCCAUAGCUGUACUCAAACCCAGGAUGGAGCUCACCACCACCACCACCACCAUAUCCUGAGUUGGGGACAUUCUGUGGGGCACAAAGUACAGACAAACAAUUUUUUUUUUUUUUAAUAAGAAAACAACUUUCGUUUCUGGUUCUCAGAAGUGGGUCCUGCAGGUCCCUCCUCCCAGGAGCAGGUACAGGAAAACCAGGAUGGGGUCCAGAACAGCCGAGGUGGAGUCCCUACGGCCACACUUUUUGUCCAUAUAGCCACGGUGACUCCAUUCCCCAUGGGCCAGUGCGAGUGACUUUCUUGAUGCUCGCAGUUACCUGGUUCAGGGUCAUCUCACACGGGUAUCCACGAGCCUGGCAUUGACAUGAUCAAACUCAUACAGUUGUUGGACUGGAGCCCGUAACCUACCCUCUCCCUGGCUUCGUUGGCUCGUUUACACCUCAACACUGUGUUCAAGGGCUGUGCUCGCAGCCAGGGCGCUGUGGGGACGAGUGAGCUCUAGCUGCUGCCCCAGGAGCCCCCAGUGUGUCAAGCACGGUCCACUGACUGCUAGGAAGGAGAGCGGCCUUGGAGAUGCCCCUCAGCAAGGGUGUGGCCUGCGGAGGCCGCCAGGCCCCGGGCUCCGGCGGUUGGCACAGAGGUGGGAGGAUCAGCGUGGCCUGUGCCCGGCUCAGAGCCCAGAGCCUGCCUCCUAAUCUGAGAAACGAGAGCGCGCACCCCUCCCGCCAUCGCUCCAGGGCCGCUGGGACGAGAGCGUCCCCUCCUUCCAGGCCGAGGACCCAGCACCGGCGUCCACCGUAGACUCCCCAUUUUCUAAGGUCCUCGCACCCCACGCUUAGCGCCGGACGUGGCAAACGGGGUGGGUGGCGGCUGCCACCCGGCUCUUAUCCUGAGGAGUGAUGGCCUCUUUAGCUCUUCCUCCUGGGCCCCCAGCUGGACGUGUUUCCAGCGUCCCUUGCAGUGAGGGUGACCACUGGCUGGGUCCUGUGUGACGGGAUGGGCCAUCAGACCCUCUGGUGUUAGCAGGGGACCCUGGCUAGAGGGGGCGUGGCCUGGGUGGGUGGGACCUCUGCCGUGAGCACCGCACAGGAAUGGAACUUGCGCAGAGGGGCGCCCUUGGGUUUUGGGGUGCUCCUUACGGGGCUUCUGCUCCCCUGUGGCCACAAGCAGGACUUGCAGAGCUGGGGGGAGGAGAGGGAAGGACCUGAGCAGGCAGGAGACUGGGAGGUCUCCGGGGGGUGCAGUAUGGUUUAUUUCUAGAUUCUUCCGCGCUUAAUAACCCUACAGCCCCUGACCCGGAGUCCUCUGGCUCUGGCCUCAUAAUUUCUGCUCAAAUCUCUUGAAGUCCCAUCUCAGGUGACGACUCCCGCUCACUCCUUCCUCCUCAUUCUGGAUUUUAUUUCAAGGACCUCUGAGCAGGAGCCCGACCUGGGGUAGAAGUGGUGGGCGAACCUCCAGGCUGGGUGCCCUGCCUUCAGGGUAGAGAGCCCCCUGUGGCUCCAACCCCGGGACCCCAGCUUCGUUCAGAACCAGGGUGACGGCAACCUUGCACCUGUAGGGGUUCAGAGAGAGUGAAACCACCCAGUCAAGCAACUGUUUGGCAAGAAGCGUUGUUCGUAAGUGUGGACCUGACUGAGACCGACUGAGAUGACUCCUACUUCCCAGCGUGUCCUGGGUACCCGUCGUCUAUUGCCCACGCCUGUUUGCUCAAGGAUCUGCAGUCUGGUAGGUCUCAGCAGAACACCUGUCCCUGCUCCACCUGGCCUCGGCAGAGGGGCUGUGGGGAGAGCCAUGAGCUGGAACAGUGGGGCCUCCGCCUGUCCUGUGUCUCCAGCAGGGAUCUGCAGGGCAACUGGACUCUCCCUUCUGGCUCAGGUUCCCAGCCAAGACAGCUCUGCAGAAGCUGUGUCGCCUCUUGUGACUUCACCUGGGAAGUCAGGCAGCAUAACUCAUUAGAAGUCAGUAACCAAGGUGGCCCAGCCUCAAGGGGAAGAGAUUUAGACUUCCUCACUUCAAAAAAAUUCUUAAAAUGCUGUUAAAAUAUGUAUACCAUAAAUUUGCUUUUUUGAUCAUGUGGAAGUGUUUAAUUCAGCAACAUUCAUUUAUAAGGUUUUGUGACCAUCACCAAAACCUCUUCUUAAUGUCUAAGUGGAAUGUUUUCAAGAUUCAUCCAUGUUGUAAGCAUAUCUCAGAGUUCCUCUCCUUUUUAUGACAGUAUAAUAUUUAACUAUUUGUCUAUUGAUGAUCAUUUGGGUUGUUGGCAUCUUUUGACACCUGUGAAUAACGUUGUGAACCUGGUACAAAUAUCGAUCCUUGCUUUCAAUUCUUCAAGGUAUAUACCCAGCAGUGGAAUUAUUGGAUCGUAUAAUAAUUCUGUGUUUUAAGUUUUUUAGGGAACUCUGAUGGUAUUUCCAUAGCAGCUACACCAUUUUAUAUUCUCACAAGAAAAGCACAAGGGUUCCAAUUUCUCCACAUCCCACCAACACUUAUUCUCUACUGUGUGCGUGCUUAAUAUCCAUUGUAAUAGGUGUGAAAUGGUACCUCAUUGCAGUUUUGAUCCGUGUUUCCCUAGUGACGAGUGAUGUUGGCCAUAUUUUCACAUGCUGUUGGCCAUUUGCAUAUCUUCUUUGGAGAAAUGUCAGUCCAAGUCCUUUGCCCAGGUUUUAAUUGGGUUGUGUUGUCGGUGAAUCCCCAAUCUCCUUUAGCCAAGAUAGUCCAAAUACUACUUCUCUAGUUUUCUAUCCACCAGUCUCUGUUGAUGGACAUCCAGGCUGUUUUUCCAACAAUGCUAUGGUGAGUUUUCUUGUACUCGUGUUAUUAUGUCCACACUGAGCAUAUUGGAAAAUAAAUUUCUCCUAGCAGAGGGAUUGAUGAAUUAAGAGAAGGUACAUUUAUCAUUUAGGUGGAUGCCAUCCAGCUGCCCUUGAGAGUGGUUGUACCAAUUUUUAUUCCCCAGUAGUUAUGUAAAAGAGCAAGACACAGCUUUAAAACUAACACAUAUGUUUUCAGCAUCAUGCCAAAGAGUUCGUCUUCCUUUGGGAUGCUAAUCUGACAUUUCCUAAUACCAAUUAAAACACUGGCCUAACAUUUCACUCUGUUAAGGGAUUUGCAACUUAAUUGCAUUUAUUCAUAAAGUAGAAUUAAUAUUGAAUAACUUGCCAUCAACAGAACUAAUUCUGACCCUGUGCUAUGUCAAAUCUAUUCAUGCUUUGUUUUUAAAUCCUCUCCCCGCCCCCCCCCAAAAAAAAAAUCCUGUUAUUUGAACACCAUUAAACUGACCUAAGAAUCAGACUUGACGGCAAUAUGUCUGCCAGUCUUUGCCAAGAGGACAAAAUUUAUUUUUCUCAAUUUUUUUCCCAGAGGUAUAAUGAUGAAAAUUCAUGAGUGGAAAUUCUUUUUCUCUUAUCCAGAGUAUCUAACAAGAUAAUUGAACUGCUCGCACAUCAAAUGCAGCCUUAACUUGUCCACCCGCCCUGGUGUGGGGUUUAGAGAAACGCAGGCCAGCCCUCUGCAAAAACCAGCCCAGCCAUCCGGGCCACCACUGAGAAUUAUUAUGAGCGAAUCAGGACCCAGUUAAGAGAAACAGAUUAUAACUGCAUUUUAUUAAUACAUGUUCAUAAUUGGCCAGUCACAGUUUUCCAGAUGGGGAGUCAUUUUUCAGGGGAGAAAAGUCUCAUCAAUGAACUUAUAAACUCAGGACAGCAAACCCUACGUGCUCGGCACAGCAGCCGCUGUGAUCGUAACUGAUAAUGAGGACGUGCCUCGUGAAAAAUGAUGUGCAGGGUGAACAAGUGAGACAUCUGAAUCCAGAUGUAUCAAGACCAUGGUAAACACACGCUCACUUUGUACUGUGUCGACCCAGAAGCUGGUUCACAUAGACAGCAGGUCAUUUCCUUUUGCGUACAUGAAACCUUGGCCUUUGGCUGGUCCAAGCUCUUACCCAGCAGAGGAAUCCCCGGGGUGGGGGUGGGGGGCUGAGUUCAGCGUCACUAUCUCAAAAGGCAGCGAAGCCCCGAUGUUCUGUAAAGGGCAGUCACCUUUGAGGACUGUCGAUGAUACGAAACUUCCUCCUCAGCACCCUCCCCCCGGAGAUUCAAAGACACAGACUUGCUCAGGGGACUGCCCCGUGCAGCAGAACAGGGGACCCAUUGCCAAAGAUCAUUCAAAACCUGCCCUAACGUCUCUUCAUCCAUCCACGACUCGUACUGAGUGCAGAGGCCCAGAGCUGAGGAUGUACAUGUUAUUUACCUAAUAGUUUCCACAUUGACUCUUGUGUACCUAGGACAUUUUAGAUAGAAGGAUGUGACGAGCCAGAGACGUCACCUCUGAUUCACACCAGAGUGGAUCCACUCCCGGCUCACUGCUGUUGUCGAGACCUCUCUCGUGAAUCCCGAUUCCCAGCUCCUUUUAGGAAACAGUGAAUUCACUCAUCCACUCACUCAUCCCCGACUUCAUCUGGCUCCCAGUUCCUGGGCCCACUCAAUGGUCCAUGCUCAAUGAUGGGCAUCCGUCCCUGCCUUCUUGACCUGCCUGGCGUUCACCCAGGAACCUGCCCCCCGGUUACACUCCCUGGGGCUGGGACAGGAAUGGAGCUGCAGCUUCUUCAUGUGCUGCUGAAGCGCCCCUCAGGCUCCAUGCUGGUCCUAUAGUCCCUCCAGCCAGCCAGGAGACCUGAGAUGUCAGGGGGGAGCCCACUACCUGGACCCAGGAUUGGAGCCCCAGUGGGCAUGCGGGCCGUCACCAGCAGAGGGCACUCAUGCCUCACCACUGGCUUCUCAACCCAGCAGGGCCAGGUAGGGCUGACCAGAAGGUUAAGGCGCCUGGGUGCUGCUAGGGGCACUAGAUGGGCUUGGAGGGACCUCAUGGGAUAAAGGGGCACCAGAGUGGGCCCUUUGCACUGAGAUUCCAUGGAAAUUCUUCCCAACCGGGGAAGAAAAUUCCACAGAUGUCUCUUCACUCUGCUGAACAAACAUGACCAGCUGGACAGCAGCCAUCAGUUAAAUAAUCCUGCCACUUGGUGAAGGUCAGGGUUGCCCCAUGUGCAACUGGCAGCCCGCCGUGAGCACCACACAGAGCUGGAUCGGCCUCCUGCUCAACUCGGUUCUUUCCAGAGAGGACAAGUGGGGAGAGCAGGAUCCCAAGCCAACGGGGUCCUCUCCAGGGCCUGGGGCCAUCCUGGUUCCACCUCAAGCCGGGAAGACCAGGCCAGGACCGGGUCUUUGGCGGGUCCCUUCCAUCAGUGCCCCAGACCUUAGUGUCCCCUCUGGGGAAUGGAACUUCAGUGAUUCUGCCUCUGUGUGGCAUGGAUGUGACUCACAUAAAUACAAGGGGUUCUGCCUGCCUGCCCCCCACCCCAGCCCUCUUCCUGCUUUGGAAUCAGUGCCUUAUGGCUGUGCUGGAGCUGUGAUUAGUGGCGGUGUGUGUGGGGGGUCCCUGUGCCCUCCCAUGACUCCUCUCUAAUUGCUCUAAUCUGUGUUUUCACACUCUCUCUGGCCAGCUCCUCCCAGGAGGCAGAGUGGCCAGGCGUGGGGAGUCCCUCUGGGCUGUUGGAGCAGCCUCUGUAGAGGCCACAGGCUCCCACAGGCCAGGCUCAGGGGGACAGCCAUAGAGGAGCAUGGGUUGGGGGACGCUCCUGGGGAAGGGAAUGAGGUGACAGGAACCUCCCUGGGGUGGG